UGUACCCCUAGAGGUAUUGCAGGUGUGGCUGCUGUGUCACAUGUGCAUCCCUAGGUGACAGAGAGGAAAGAGCCUAUGUCUACACUCAGUGUCCUGACCUGUGGACAGCUGAGUGAUUAGAAGCCUAACAUU